rnacentral:rRNA from 1 species
GAUGAACGCUAGCUACAGGCUUAACACAUGCAAGUCGAGGGGAGACGAUAUUGGAAGCUUGCUUCCGAUAGGCGUCGACCGGCGCACGGGUGAGUAACGCGUAUCCAACCUGCCCACCACUUGGGGAUAACCUUGCGAAAGUAAGACUAAUACCCAAUGACGUCCAUAGAAGACAUCUGAAAUGGAUUAAAGAUUUAUCGGUAAUGGAUGGGGAUGCGUCUGAUCAGCUUGUUGGCGGGGUAACGGCCCACCAAGGCGACGAUCAGUAGGGGUUCUGAGAGGAAGGUCCCCCACAUUGGAACUGAGACACGGUCCAAACUCCUACGGGAGGCAGCAGUGAGGAAUAUUGGUCAAUGGGCGAGAGCCUGAACCAGCCAAGUAGCGUGCAGGAUGACGGCCCUAUGGGUUGUAAACUGCUUUUAUAAGGGAAUAAAGUGAGUCUCGUGAGACUUUUUGCAUGUACCUUAUGAAUAAGGACCGGCUAAUUCCGUGCCAGCCGCCGCAGUAA